UUCGAAUCCGUGAGCCUAGUUUCAGGAGUUGGUUUGGUUUGUUUCUUUUUCUUUGUUUUUGGGCUCUGGCUCUGAGCCGAGGAUCGGGAUUGCUGCCCAAUUAAACUAACACUAACACUGCUACUCAGGUCUGUUCCUUCUGGCUUAAUCCUUCCCCGGCAAUUUCCUCCCCUGGCAUUUGUCCUUCCCUAGGUUUUUUCCUUUUCCGGCUACCCACAACCCUGCUUAGUUACCGCUUAGUACCUACCAACCCCGACACUACAUCGUGGAAGAUCGGACAGUUGAAUGCAAGAAACGAAGAAGUUGGACGCUAGGGCCUGACGGCUGCGCGCCCUAACCCACAA